UACGUAGGGGGCAAGCGUUGUCCGGAUUUAUUGGGCGUAAAGAGCGUGUAGGCGGCUUGGCAAGUCCGCUGUGAAAACUCGAGGCUUAACCUCGAGACGUCGGUGGAAACUGCUUGGCUAGAGUCCGGAAGAGGAGAGUGGAAAUUCCUGGUGUAGCGGUGAAAUGCGCAGAUAUCAGGAAGAACACCCGUGGCUAAGGCGGCUCUCUAGUACGGUACUGACGCUGAGACGCGAAAGCGUGGGGAGCGAACAGG
rnacentral:rRNA from 1 species